GCUCAACAGUUGCAUGAGGCAAGAACCACAGUUGAAAGCUGAACAAGGACUUCUGGGAAAUUCUCCUGAGGAGGGGGUCUUGAGGGUGAAGACACAGAAGGGAGUGGAAGGAGGAGCUGUUUCUCUGGGCCAUUUCAAGAAACCUGUGGAGAUUUCUGACACUGACAGAAAUCUUAACAUUGUGGGUUCCUGUUUAAAACAUUGUUAGUUCCUGUCAACAAAACUUCAUUUCUCUGAUGACUUUCAUUCCAUAAACUAUUGAGAUACUGGACUCAAAUCGGGUGCCUAAGUCAAAGGCCACCUGCUGAGUACUGAAGAGGAAGAAACCAUUCUCGUCUUCACCCUGGGGUCUCCUGAGGGGAUACUAGAAGUAUUGGGGAUAGAGGUGAGGAGGAAGGAUUUUCAAAGAAGUAACUGGAAAUCUGUGCCAGACAUACUCAGUGAUUACGUGGAUCAGAGGAAUUUGGAGUCUUUAAUCCCAACACUGGAGAAACUAGAGAUCAGGAAAGUUACUACUGGGCUCCAAGCCGGGCUCCUCCUGGCUACAUUAUUUUGUGUCAAGGCCAAGAGCAAGAGAGCAACUGGUCUUUCAGGCAGAUGAUCAAUUAACCAGCAUUCUGCGGGCACCUCCCUCAGCCAAGAUCCCCUCCAGAGGGCCUUUGGUGCUUGAUUAAACUCAUCGCCAAAAGGAAAAGAAAAAAGGCACGUUACAGAGCAACAAAUUGGUCUGUCAAGGAUCCAUGUGAGGUCAUCGAAGAUUAUCCACUUUCAUGGAAUUAUGAGAACAUUGGAAAAGAAAUUCUACCAGUUGUAAAUUCUAUAAUCAAUACAAACACCAGGCUUCAGAUUCAAAGAAGUAUACUCCUCAGGAAGAAAGUAACUUCCCAGCAAGGGUACAGUAUGCCAGGGAAAGAAACAUCUCAGCUGUUAAACAUUUUUUCUCUUUUCGUGAUUAACCUAUAGGAGUGAUGGCAAACCUUUUAAAAGGGCAAGUGAUGUCCUCAGACACACCUGGAGAGAGGAGCUGAAAUGGAAACUAUCAACCUGCCUAUUCAUGCAGUUACAUCAACAAAAUCAACAAGAACUACUUAUGGCCUUUGAUCAUAGUAUCUUUUUCUUCCCCAGUUCCCCAAAAGCAACACAACAUAGACUGGUAAAAAACUAGUGAUUAAACUGGUUUUGAAUUUCCAUAAAUAAAAUAAUGCAUAUAAAUUAGGAAUAAA